rnacentral:rRNA from 1 species
UACGUAGGGUGCGAGCGUUAAUCGGAAUUACUGGGCGUAAAGUGUGCGUAGGCGGCUUUGCAAGUCGGGUGUGAAAUCCCCAGGCUUAACCUGGGAACUGCAUUCGAGACUGCAUUGCUAGAGUAUGGGAGAGGGAAGUGGAAUUUCCGGUGUAGCGGUGAAAUGCGUAGAUAUCGGAAGGAACAUCAGUGGCGAAAGCGACUUCCUGGACCAAUACUGACGCUCAUGUGCGAAAGCGUGGGGAGCAAACAGG